rnacentral:tRNA from 14 species
GCGGGCGUGGUUCAGUGGUAGAACGCGACCUUGCCAAGGUUGAGAUGUGGGUUCGAUUCCCAUCGCCCGCUCCA